UCGGAAGCCAAGCAGGGUCGGGCCUGGUUAGUACUUGGAUGGGAGACCGCCUGGGAAUACCAGGUGCUGUAAGCUU
rnacentral:rRNA from 2 species